rnacentral:rRNA from 2 species
UACGGAGGGAGCUAGCGUUGUUCGGAAUUACUGGGCGUAAAGCGCACGUAGGCGGCGACUCAAGUCAGAGGUGAAAGCCCGGGGCUCAACCCCGGAACUGCCUUUGAAACUAGGUUGCUAGAAUCUUGGAGAGGUCAGUGGAAUUCCGAGUGUAGAGGUGAAAUUCGUAGAUAUUCGGAAGAACACCAGUGGCGAAGGCGACUGACUGGACAAGUAUUGACGCUGAGGUGCGAAAGCGUGGGGAGCAAACAGG